AACAUCAUGGCGCAGUGGUAGCGCGCGGGGGGCCCAUACCCCGAGGUCACUGGAUCGAUACUAGUUGAUACUA